GACGAACGCUGGCGGCGUGCUUAACACAUGCAAGUCGAACGGAAAGGCCCUGCUUUUGUGGGGUGCUCGAGUGGCGAACGGGUGAGUAACACGUGAGUAACCUGCCCUUGACUUUGGGAUAACUUCAGGAAACUGGGGCUAAUACCGGAUAGGAGCUCCUGCUGCAUGGUGGGGGUUGGAAAGUUUCGGCGGUUGGGGAUGGACUCGCGGCUUAUCAGCUUGUUGGUGGGGUAGUGGCUUACCAAGGCUUUGACGGGUAGCCGGCCUGAGAGGGUGACCGGCCACAUUGGGACUGAGAGACGGACCAGACUCCUACGGGAGGCAGCAGUGGGGAAUAUUGCACAAUGGGCGGAAGCCUGAUGCAGCGACGCCGCGUGCGGGAUGACGGCCUUCGGGUUGUAAACCGCUUUCGCCUGUGACGAAGCGUGAGUGACGGUAAUGGGUAAAGAAGCACCGGCUAACUACGUG
rnacentral:rRNA from 1 species